rnacentral:rRNA from 1 species
GACGUAGGGCGCGAGCGUUUGUCCGGAUUUAUUGGGCGUAAAGAGCUCGUAGGCGGCUUGUUGCGUCAGCUGUGAAAACCCGCAGCUCAACUGUGGGCUUGCAGCUGAUACGGGCAGGCUUGAGUUCGGUAGGGGAGACUGGAAUUCCUGGUGUAGCGGUGAAAUGCGCAGAUAUCAGGAGGAACACCGGUGGCGAAGGCGGGUCUCUGGGCCGAUAUUGACGCUGAGGAGCGAAAGCGUGGGGAGCGAACAGG